AAGAACUCCAUAAUAACUUGAAGAUUUGAGCAUUUAAUUAUUUUCAAAAGCUUUUUGUUGUAUUUAUCAUGAGUGUGGAAGGGAGCAUCAGGCACUGCUUAUGAAUUGCCCACCAGUUAAGAACCAAGGCUACUUUUGUAGAGACUCACAUUUAAUACCUAGCACUCAUGUUGAGUUACUCACAACCACCAGUAAUUUUAGGUCCAGCAGAUCUUACACCUUUGGCUUCCACUGGCACUUGCACGAACAUGCAAGUGUGUGUGCAAGCGUGCGCAUGCGCACAAACACACACACACACAAUCAAAAAUAACUACAUCUUUAACAAAAGAAAAACAUACAUCAGUGGUGAAAGAGAAAUUUGGAGCUUUGAGUAUUGACUCUCCAAAGGGUGGCACCCAGUGUGUCCAACUCUAAUGCUUUGAGCACUCUGGGAAAAGGUUGUGUUUAUGCUAGUGACUGACUGCAUGUUCCGGAAUUUGUUCUAAAAUUCAUUUUUCCAGGUUGAAAGGUGCAUUUUCUUUUUCUAGUAUUCCUGGCAUGCACAUACUACCAAGCUGUGAUGGAUUGCCUCUCGGGGCCCCUCUGGAACACAACUGAAAGUACAACGUCAACCCCCUGGGGGACUUUAAACACGCAGUAGCUGACUUGGAACCUCUGAGGGUUCCAGGGCUUGAGAGUCCUCUCCCACGUGCUCUGUGCUGGACUUAGUUGCUCUAGUGAGCAGAGUGAGGACAGUUAUUCUUUGAGGGUCCCAUGUGAAAAUACCAAGUUGUUCUUUUUAUACUUGGAAUCAAUUCCAAUGUUGACCAUUAAGUUCUGUUAUAGUGGGCUUACGUAAUGAAGAUUUUAUAUAGUGGUAAUAGCACACGCCCAAGAUAUCCUGGCUUUUGGUUUCAGUAAAUUAAAAACUGACUUGCUUGAAGUCAUUCAUUAGGAAGCAAAACAUUGAAAGUGUUUUUCUUAAUGUAUAUUGAUUAGUGUUUUACUUGUAUGUGUGCCAGAUAUGUUCCUGGUGCCCAAGGAAGUCAGGAGAGAGCAUCAGCUCUUCUGAAACUGGACUGAGCCACCAUGUGGGGGUACUAGGAACUGGGGCCUUUACACACUAAACCACUGAAUGCCCUUCCUCCAGCCCUUACUGCUUUAAUGGUCAACAUUGGAAUUGAUUCCAAGUAUAAAAGUUUAAGCAGAGCGGAAGAAAGGGAAUAAAAAUCUACGUUAGAUAAGAGAGGGUGUUAUCAAUAGUAGGUAAAAUCAGUGCCAAAAAGAUGUUUUUGUGAUGAUGAGAAAUUUGUAGACUAAGCCUGUUGACCACCUUGUUUCCAGAGCACUGCUGCGCGCCUUUUCUCUUUGAACCAUGUUUAUUCUUACACGUAACUCCAAUAACUCUCCAAGGUGCAACAGUGAAGAAGAUUUUUAGCAGCACUAUUUGUUGAUCGUUAGUUUCAGAUGUUUAGGAAACCAAUCAUUUGCAUGAAUAGCUGUAGAGCCACGGUGGUGUCUUAAUGUACAAAACCUAAGUACUGGUGUAGCCUAGUUUCCUUUCCCUGGCCUAGUUUCAGACGUUUUGGGAGGAAAAUGAGUCUAGACUGUUGUUGCACUAAUAAGGUGAACUUUUAAAUUGGCCUUUUCUGUUUGUUCCUGUGAGGACUGUCUGUUCUGUUCACUGCCCCGCCCACUCCUGCCCACAUCCCCAUGAUGGGACGGUGACGGUGACGGUGAUGGUGAUGAUGGUGGUGGUGGUGCUUGUGAGGAUUGUGAUGAUUUGAUUUUGGAGGGCUUUUGUCUGUUUGAUCAGUUGCUUAUUCUGUUCUGGUUUUUUAUUUUGUCUCUGUUUCUAAGACAAGAGUCUUCUAUGCCCUAGAAUAGCCUCAAACUUGGCUCUGUAGCUAAAAAUGAGCAUGGCUAGGAAUGACCUUGGACUCGUCAUCCUCUUGCUUCUACCUCCCAAAUGCUGGGAUUUACAACACAUCUGCUCCAUAAUACCUUGUUGGUGAUGUUUGUUUGUUUUCUUUUUAACUUCUGGAUUUCCUUACUGCCUUUUGAUACACAUACUGUACUCUGUUCUUCACUCGACACCUCCCAGGCCUCCUCUUGGCCCCUUCAUCCUUCCAAGUAGUGCCCUGCUUUGUUUUCAUGACCUGUAUGCUGGUGACUUCUUAGCUGUUAAACAUACACAAAUUUGCAUUUAGAUUUUUACAUGUAAGAAAACACUAUUUUCCUUUUUAGUUAGCCUUAUUUGGUUAACAUAAGACUUCCAUUUUCUUGACAAUGUUGUAAUUUCAUUUUAUUCUUCUCUAUAACUAGAGAAAAUUGCAUUGUAUGUGUGCAUAUUUUUAUAUCCAUGAGCAGCUAGGCUUGUUCCAUUUCUUGGCUGUUAUGAAUAGUGUAGCAGCAAGCAGGAAUAUUCAAGUAGCUCUGUGAUGCGCUAACUUAGAGCCCUUGGGUAUAUACCUGGGGAUUAUGUAGGUGGUCACAUUGUAGCUCAGUCUUUGGUGUUGUGUGGAAUUUCCAUGCUGGUCUCCGUUCUUGUUUUACCAGUUGUACAUGCCUGUCAAGAAGUGCAUAAGUGUCCUCUCCCCACACUCACGCAGAAUUUGUUCUCAGUCAUUUUGUUGUUUAUUUUGUGGUAAGCCAUUCUGGUUUGGGUACGAUGGGGUCUGAAAGCAGUUUUAGUGUGAAUUUCUCUGAAGGCUAAGAAUCCUGAGUUCUUGGUGUUCAUUGGCCAUUUCAGAGUUCAUUAUAUAUCCUAAAUAAUUAAUCCACUUCAGAUAAAUAGAUGGUGAAAGUUUUCUCCUAUUCUGUGGGUUAUUUCUUUACUCUUAGUUUUAUUUGCUGGGCAGAAGCUUUUAAUUGCAUGCAAUCCCAUUUGCCAUUUCUUGGGUUUGUUUUUUUCAUUGGAGAGUCUUCACCUAUCCCUGUGCAUGCAACGGUUUAGCCUGUGUUUUACCUCUGGCUGUUUCAGAGGUUCAGAUUUUAUAUUAAGGUCUUUGAUUCAUUCUGAAUUGAUUUUUCUACAAGGUUCAAGAUUCAGUUCCAUGCUUCUUGUGGGAAAUCCUUUAUAAGAGAAGUUAAAUUUAGAUUCCCAAGACAGUCUGUAAGCAAAAAGUAUGUAUUCUUUGGAGUCACUUUAACCUACUUGUCCUAUCUGUAGUAAAGGAAUACUUGUUUUAUUGUAAAAUAUUAGAAUUGUGGUCUCCUUG
rnacentral:lncRNA from 1 species